CUUGUACUCCCUCCGUCCGAAAAUACUUGUCAUUGAAAUGGAUGUAUCUAGAUGUAUUUUAGUUCUAGACACAUCCAUUUUGAUGACAAGUAAUUCCGAACGGAGGGAGUACUUG
rfam:Triticum urartu cultivar G1812 contig1247336, whole genome shotgun sequence.